CGCGUAUUUUGCCCAGGCGGAGCUCGACCGCCGCUUCAAGCCAUGAAGGCCUUCAUCGACGAGCAUCGUGAGGUCUACGGGGUCAGCCGAUCUGCCGUAGGACCACCGUCAGCGACGCCGCUGCCCCU
rfam:Microvirga lotononidis strain WSM3557 genomic scaffold Micloscaffold_11, whole genome shotgun sequence.